AAUUUAUUUGGGCAUAAGCUUUUGUGAGCUAAAACCCAUUUCAUUGGAUGCAUGCAGUGGAAAAUACAGUAGGAAGAUAUAUAUACACACAGAGAACAUGAAAAAAUGGGUAUUUUGGCCAUACCAACAGUAAUAAGACUAAUCAAUUAAAGUGGGUUAUUAUCAGCAGGAGAAAAAAAAAACUUUUAUUGUGAUAAUCAGGAUGGCCCAUUUCAAACAGUUGACAAGAAUGUGUGAGAAACAGUUUGGGUGGAAGAAGAGGAAGGAAGAG